ensembl:lncRNA LINC02937 long intergenic non-protein coding RNA 2937
GAAAAAAAGAAAAGCAUUAGGUAAGGCCACAGCUGUCAUAGAUAGUGAUUCCUCUGAUGUAUCUGGGCCAAGUAAAUUGAAAACCUUCUGGAAGGGAUUAACCAUUUUAGAUGCCAUUAAGAACAUUUGCGAUUCAUGAAAGGUGGUCAAGAUAUUGAUAUUCUCAGAAGUUUGGAAGAAGUUGGUUCCAACCCUCACAAAUGACUUUGAAAGGUUUAACACUUCAGUGGAAGAAGUCACCGCACAUGUGGUGGAAACAGCAAGAGAACUAGAAUUAGAAGUGGUGCCUCAAGAUGUGACUGAAUUGCCGCAAUCUCAUGAUCAAACUUGAAUGGAUGAGGAGUUGCUUCUUAUGGAUGAGCAAAGAAAAUGGCUUCUUGAAAUGGAUUCUACUCCUGGUGAAGAUGCUGUGAACGUUGUUGAAGUGACAACAAAGGACUUAGAAUAUUACAUAAAUGUAGUUGAUAAAGCAGCAGCAGGGUUUGAGAGGACUGACUCCAAUUUGAAAGAAGUUCUACUGUGGGUAUAAUGCUGUCAAACAGCAUCACAUUCUAUGGAGAAGUCUUUUGUGAAAGGAAAAGUCAAUCAAUAUGACAAAGUUCACUGUUGUCUUAUUUUGAGAAAUUGCCACAGCCACCCCAGCCUUCAGCAAUCAUCAACAUCAAAGCAAGACCCUCCAUUAGCAACAAGAUUAUGGCUCGCUGAAGGCUCAGAUGAUCAUUAGCAUUUUUUAGAAAUAAAGUAUUUUUAAAUUAAGGUAUGUACAUUUUUUUAAGACAUAAUGCUAUUGCAUGCUUAAUAGACUAUAGAACACUAUAAACAUAAUGUUUGUAUGCAUUGGAAAACCAAAAUAUUAGUGUAACUAGCCAUAUUCUGAUAUUUGCUUUAUUGCGGUUAUCUAGAACCAAACCUGAAAUAUUUCUGAGGUAUGUUUGCAACAUUCUCAAAAAAUGCAAACCUUAAACCCUGAAUUUGAGUUACAGAAAGCCAGAGACACAUAUAUACUUACAUAUGUACAUUUAUUCAGAUUUAUCGAAGACCGAGUUAUUCUGCAUAAAGUUCCAAGUGGCAUUAAAUUUCAUUUAGAAAUAAGAAUUUUUGAAACAAAUGUUUAUAAGCCAUAUCAUAAUUUUCCUUCUCUUUUUAAAAAACAUUUUCUGAAAACAACUUGACCUUUUGCUUAGUGACUUAGCAUUUUUUUUUCCCAGGAGAGGUGCCCGAUGAGCUCCCAGUCAUGUGGUUCAGGGCGGGCUCUGGAAGACUCACAGAGGAGACUCCUCCGAGAAACCAAGAAGGUUUCUGUCCAAGUCGGGAUCUGCUCUGCUCAGGAUGCUCCUCCAACACACACAGUGAAAAACUGAGCACCUAGAGAGCAACACCAAAAACCCAUGGCCAAUAAUGGAGAGCCAAAUCAGGAGAGCAUUCAGCAAAGCAAUUCUUGCUGUAGAAGGAACAGCACAAAAAGCUGGAAGGAAACUGAGGCAUGCGUGAAAGAUAACUUGUCAGUGUUUGCAGUCUACUGAGAUCCCCGCUGCAAGAAAAGGCAGGAUUUCCACUUGCUUCUUGGCCCGCCUCUGUUGUCCAGAAUCCAGGACAGGUGACAAGAGAAGCAGAUGUGAUCUGCACAAGCUGGCUCAGCUGGGUUGGGAGUUGCUCUUCCUGGACAGGCCGGGAAGGGUGCUGGAGGGGAGGGAGGAGGAGAGAGGUUUUAGGGGAGGGGUGCUGAGCAGUCAGGGACCUGUAAGGUCACAUUUCUUUCAGGUAUUCUUUCUAGGUGUACUGAAUGGGAACAUUGUCUGUC